rnacentral:rRNA from 1 species
AGAGUUUGAUCCUGGCUCAGGAUCAACGCUGGCGGCGUGCCUAACGCAUGUAAGUCGCACGCACGGUCUUCAUGACCGUGAGUGGCGAACGGCUGAGGAACACGUACGAACCUGCCCGCUUGUGGGGAAUACCCCACCGAAAGGUGAGCUAAUACCGCGUACGCUCAUCCUUUCACCAGGAUGAGGAAAGCCUUCGGGCGCAGGCGGAGGGGCGUGCGGCCCAUCAGGUUGUUGGUGGGGUAAUGGCCUACCAAGCCCGCGACGGGUAGCUGGUCUGUGAGGACGAUCAGCCAGACUGGGACUGAGACACGGCCCAGACACCUACGGGUGGCAGCAGCGAGGAAUCUUCCACAAUGGGCGCAAGCCCGAUGGAGCAACGCCGCGUGGAGGACGACGGCCUUCGGGUUGUAAACUCCUUUCGGGGGGGAUGAAACGGACAGUACCCCCAGAAGCAGCCCCGGCUAACUCUGUGCCAGCAGCCGCGGUAAUACAGAGGGGGCAAGCGUUGUCCGGAUUUACUGGGCGUACAGCGCGCGCAGGCGGACCUGGCCGUGCCGUGUGACAAGCCACCGCUCACCGGUGGAGGGCCACGGUACACGACAGGUCUGGAGGCAGGGAGAGGGAUGUGGAAUGCCCGGUGGAGCGGUGAAAUGCGUAGAGAUCGGGCGGAACACCAGCGGCGAAGGCGGCAUCCUGGUCCUGUUCUGACGCUGAGGCGCGAGAGCGUGGGGAGCAAACUGGAUUAGAUACCCCCGUAGUCC